UACAGAGGGUGCUAGCGUUGUUCGGAAUUACUGGGCGUAAAGGGCGCGUAGGCGGCCUUCUAAGUCGAACGUGAAAUCCCCGGGCUCAACCCGGGAACUGCGUCCGAUACUGGAAGGCUUGAAUCCGGGAGAGGGAUGCGGAAUUCCAGGUGUAGCGGUGAAAUGCGUAGAUAUCUGGAGGAACACCGGUGGCGAAGGCGGCAUCCUGGACCGGCAUUGACGCUGAGGCGCGAAAGCCAGGGGAGCAAACGGG
rnacentral:rRNA from 1 species